GAUGAACGCUGGCGGCGUGCCUAAUACAUGCAAGUCGAGCGAACAGAUGAGGAGCUUGCUCCUCUGACGUUAGCGGCGGACGGGUGAGUAACACGUGGAUAACCUACCUAUAAGACUGAGAUAACUUCGGGAAACCGGAGCUAAUACCGGAUAAUAUAUUGAACCGCAUGGUUCAAUAGUGAAAGACGGUUUUGCUGUCACUUAUAGAUGGAUCCGCGCCGCAUUAGCUAGUUGGUAAGGUAACGGCUUACCAAGGCAACGAUGCGUAGCCGACCUGAGAGGGUGAUCGGCCACACUGGAACUGAGACACGGUCCAGGCUCCUACGGGAGGCAGCAGUAGGGAAUCUUCCGCAAUGGGCGAAAGCCUGACGGAGCAACGCCGCGUGAGUGAUGAAGGUCUUCGGAUCGUAAAACUCUGUUAUUAGGGAAGAACAAAUGUGUAAGUAACUAUGCACGUCUUGACGGUACCUAAUCAGAAAGCCACGGCUAACUACGUG
rnacentral:rRNA from 1 species